rnacentral:pre_miRNA from 1 species
ACUGGGAUUGCUGGGUCAAAUAGUGGUUCCAUUCCGAAUUUUUUUGAGGAAUCUCCAUACUGCUUUCCACAGUGGUUGUACCAAUUUGCAGUCCCAUCAGCAAU